rnacentral:tRNA from 1 species
GGGGUUGUAGCUCAGUGGCAGAGUGCUUUCCUAGCAUGUGUGAGGCCCUGGGUUCUAUUCUCAGCAACUUAA